GUCUUCUGGUAUAAGUUAGAAAGUCUGACCUGCCCACUGAGUUUAGGCUUAAAGGGCCGCGGUAUCAUGACCGUGCGAAGGUAGCAUAAUCAAUAGUCUCUUAAUUGGAGGCUGGAAUGAAUGGUUGGACGGAAAGAGAACUGUCUUGUUUGGUCAAAGUGAAUUUGACUUUUGUGUGAAAAGGCAUAAAUAAACUGAGGGGACGAGAAGACCCUAUAAAACUUUAUAAUUUAGCAUGGGGUUUUGAAUUUGGUGUAAUUAAAGGUUCAUGUGACGUUAUUUUGCUGGGGAGGCAGGAAUAAAAUUAUGAUAACUGUUUUGUAAAAAAAAUAAUUGUAAUUAGCUGGUGAACCCUUUUUAGGGGUUAGGAGUUCAAGUUACUUUAGGGAUAACAGCGUAAUUUCUCUUGAGAGUUCAUAUCGACAGAGAUAGUUGCGACCUCGAUGUUGAAUUAAAACUUCCUGUAGGAGCAGGUAUUUACAGGGUAGGUCUGUUCGACCUCUAAGGUUUU
rnacentral:rRNA from 1 species